rnacentral:rRNA from 1 species
CAGUAGCCGCGGGAAUUCGUAGGUGGCAAGCGUUGUCCGGAAUUAUUGGGCGUAAAGGGCUCGCAGGCGGUUUCUUAAGUCUGAUGUGAAAGCCCCCGGCUCAACCGGGGAGGGUCAUUGGAAACUGGGAAACUUGAGUGCAGAAGAGGAGAGUGGAAUUCCACGUGUAGCGGUGAAAUGCGUAGAGAUGUGGAGGAACACCAGUGGCGAAGGCGACUCUCUGGUCUGUAACUGACGCUGAGGAGCGAAAGCGUGGGGAGCGAACAGGAUUAGAUACCCCCGUAGUCCCUGUCUCUUAUAC